AACGCUGGCGGCGCGCUUAACACAUGCAAGUCGAGCGAGAACCGGGGCUUCGGCCCCGGGGACAGCGGCGAACGGGUGAGUAACACGUGGGUAAUCUGCCCUCGGUUCCGGGAUAGCCCGGGGAAACUCGGAUUAAUACCGGAUAGCCUCACGAGCCUUCGGGCGCGUGAGAAAAGGUAGCUUCGGCCUCUGACCGAGGAUGAGCCCGCGGCGGAUUAGCUUGUUGGCGGGGUAACGGCCCACCAAGGCGACGAUCCGUAGCUGGUCUGAGAGGACGAUCAGCCACACUGGGACUGAGACACGGCCCAGACUCCUACGGGAGGCAGCAGUGGGGAAUCUUGCGCAAUGGGCGAAAGCCUGACGCAGCGACGCCGCGUGAGGGAAGAAGGCCCUAGGGUUGUAAACCUCUUUCAGGUGGGACGAAGCCACUCGGGUGAAUAGCCCAGAGGGUGACGGUACCUCCAGAAGAAGCCCCGGCUAACUACGUGCCAGCCGCCGCAGUAACAC
rnacentral:rRNA from 1 species